UAGUUCCCCAUAGAGUUGGAUUUCUGGAUCAAGCGCACAACCAGAAUGGAAGAUUACAAUCCAGGAGUGAAUAUACUAAGAACUACAGGUGAAACUUGACAAAACCUUUCCCAUUCACUGUAUGGUGAAUCUUGGUCAAAUAAAUGAAUAACGAAAAAAACACAGCAGAUCACAAAGUUCUGUAACGAGAGAGGUCAAGUGAAUUACCGUGAAACCGGAGGGGUUAUAUGG
rnacentral:misc_RNA from 1 species